CGUGCAGGCGGUUUGGUAAGUUGGAUGUUAAAGCUCCCCGGCUCAACUGGGAGACGCCGUUCAAUACUGCCAGGCUAGAGGACGGUAGAGGGAGGUGGAAUUCCCGGUGUAGUGGUGAAAUGCGUAGAUAUCGGGAGGAACACCAGUGGCGAAAGCGGCCUCCUGGGCCGGUCCUGACGCUAAGACGCGAAAGCAUGGGUAGCAAACG
rnacentral:rRNA from 1 species